rnacentral:ncRNA from 1 species
CAGCGGACUUGAGACCAAACGCCAAAAUUGAGUGCGCGCGGGGAAACUCGCGCUGCAGAACUGCUCAAAUUCGGGGAACCCUGUGAAAUGGCGAUCCCGAGCCAAGCCCUUCGAUGGGAGUCGGAGGGAAGGUGUAGAGACUAGACGGGCAGCACCUAAGUCCUGGGUUCAGGGUAUGGUGAAGGGAUAGUCCAGACCACAAACGUCGGG